AUUGAACGCUGGCGGCAUGCCUUACACAUGCAAGUCGAACGGCAGCACGGGUGCUUGCACCUGGUGGCGAGUGGCGAACGGGUGAGUAAUACAUCGGAACAUGUCCUGUAGUGGGGGAUAGCCCGGCGAAAGCCGGAUUAAUACCGCAUACGAUCUACGGAUGAAAGCGGGGGACCUUCGGGCCUCGCGCUAUAGGGUUGGCCGAUGGCUGAUUAGCUAGUUGGUGGGGUAAAGGCCUACCAAGGCGACGAUCAGUAGCUGGUCUGAGAGGACGACCAGCCACACUGGGAGUGAGACACGGCCCAGACUCCUACGGGAGGCAGCAGUGGGGAAUUUUGGACAAAGGGCGAAAGCCUGAUCCAGCAAUGCCGCGUGUGUGAAGAAGGCCUUCGGGUUGUAAAGCACUUUUGUCCGGAAAGAAAUCCUUGGCCCUAAUACGGUCGGGGGAUGACGGUACCGGAAGAAUAAGCACCGGCUAACUACGUG
rnacentral:rRNA from 1 species